UACAGAGGUCCCGAGCGUUGUUCGGAUUCAUUGGGCGUAAAGGGUGCGUAGGCGGCGGGGAAAGUCUGAUGUGAAAUCCUGGGGCUCAACCCUGGAACUGCAUUGGAUACUUCCUUGCUAGAGUACUGGAGAGGAAACUGGAAUUUACGGUGUAGCAGUGAAAUGCGUAGAGAUCGUAAGGAAGACCAGUGGCGAAGGCGAGUUUCUGGACAGUUACUGACGGCUGAGCACGAAGGCCCAGGGGAGCGAACAGG
rnacentral:rRNA from 1 species